rnacentral:rRNA from 1 species
ACGGGUGAGGAACACGUAGGAACCUGCCCAGAAGAGGGGGACAACCAAGGGAAACUUUGGCUAAUACCGCAUGAACUCGAGAGAGUAAAGUUGCCACGCAAGUGGUGACGCUUCUGGAAGGGCCUGCGUCCGAUUAGCUAGUUGGUAGGGUAAAAGCCUACCAAGGCGAUGAUCGGUAACUGGUCUGAGAGGACGACCAGUCACACUGGGACUGAGACACGGCCCAGACUCCUACGGGAGGCAGCAGUGGGGAAUAUUGGACAAUGGGGGCAACCCUGAUCCAGCGAUGCCGCGUGGGUGAAGAAGGCCUUCGGGUUGUAAAGCCCUUUAGGUUGGGAAGAAGCAUACGAUGUGAACAACAUGGUAUGUUGACGGUACCGACAGAAUAAGCACCGGCAAACUCUGUGCCAGCAGCCGCGGUAAUACAGAGGGUGCGAGCGUUAAUCGGAAUUACUGGGCGUAAAGGGCGCGUAGGCGGUAAUAUGAGUGUGAUGUGAAAGCCCCGGGCUUAACCUGGGAAGUGCAUCGCAACGAUAUUACUGGAGUAUAUGAGAGGGUGGCGGAAUUUCCGGUGUAGC